GAUGAACGCUGGCGGCGUGCCUAAUACAUGCAAGUCGAGCGAACACACGAGGAGCUUUCUCCUCUGACGUUAGCGGCUGACGGGUGAGUAACACGUAGAUCACCUUCCUCUAAGUCUUGGAUAACUUCGUGGAACCGGAGCUACUACCAGCUAAUAUAUUGUACCGCAUGGUUCAAUAGUGAAAGACGGUUUUGCUGUCACUUUUAGCUGGUUCCGCGUCGCAUUAGCUAGUUGGUAAGGUAACGGCCUACCAAGGCGACGAUGCGUAGCCGACCUGAGAGGGUGAUCGGCCACACUGGAACUGAGACACGGUCCAGACUCCUACGGGAGGCAGCAGUAGGGAAUCUUCGGCAAUGGGCGAAAGCUUGACGGAGCAACGCCGCGUGAGUGAUGAAGGUCUUCGGAUCGUAAAACUCUGUUAUUAGGGAAGAACAGAAGCGGAAGUAAAUAUGCACGUCUUGACGGUACCUAAUCAGAAAGCAACGGCUAACUACGUG
rnacentral:rRNA from 1 species